CCAAUAGCGUAUAUUAAAGUUGUUGCAGUUAAAAAGCUCGUAGUUGAAUUUCGGGAUCAAUACGUCGGUCGUGCCUCUGGUAUGAACUGGUGUUAUUGAUUCCUCCUUUCUGAUAAACCAUGAUGUCAUUAAUUUGGUGUUGUGGGGAGUCAGGACUGUUACUUUGAAAAAAUUAGAGUGUUUAAAGCAGGCCUACGCUUGAAUACAUUAGCAUGGAAUAAUGAAAUAGGACGUUCGAACCUAUUUUGUUGGUUUCUAGGAUCAACGUAAUGAUUAAUAGGGAUAGUUGGGGGCAUUAGUAUUCAAUUGUCAGAGGUGAAAUUCUUGGAUUUAUUGAAGACUAACUACUGCGAAAGCAUUUGCCAAGGAUGUGUUCAUUAAUCAAGAACGAAAGUUAGGGGAUCGAAGACGAUCAGAUACCGUCGUAGUCUUAACCAUAAACUAUGCCGACUAGGGAUCGGAUGAUGUUAAUUUUUUAAUGACUCAUUCGGCGCCUUACG
rnacentral:rRNA from 1 species